GGCAUACAUACACACACGCACUGGCAUACACACACUGGCAUACAUACACACAUACACUGGCAUACAUACACACAUACACUGGCAUUCAUACACUGGCAUACAUACAUACACACAUACACUGGCAUCCACACACUGGCAUACAUACACACAUACACUGGCAUACACACAUACACUGGCAUACAUACACACAUACACUGGCAUACAUACACACAUACACAAUGGCAUACACACUGGCAUACAUACACAUACACUGGCAUACAUGGGCAUACAUACACACACGCACUGGCAUACACACACACUGGCAUUCAUACACUGGCAUACAUACACACAUACACUGGCAUCCACACACUGGCAUCCAUACACACAUACACUGGCAUUCAUACACAUAC